UCAAGCAGGUCAGGAAGCAGGAGCUGAUGU
rnacentral:piRNA from 1 species